rnacentral:misc_RNA from 1 species
AAAACGCGAAAUGUGUUAUGAAGUGCAGUCUUUGUGAAUCAUGAAUCUUUGAACGCACCUUGCACCACUUUUGGGUGGUAUGUCUGUUUGAGGGAGGUAAGAGAGUGGAAGUCAUUCUGGGGUGGGGUCGUUGUGUAGAUAUAUUUGCACUGCCCUUAAAACGAUGCAACACUGGUGAUGGGAUAGCAUCUGCAUCAUCAACAACGUGUAAAAAUUCUCCUCAAAUCAGACAAGAUGACCCGCUGAACUUAA